AACGAACGCUGGCGGCAGGCCUAACACAUGCAAGUCGAGCGAAGCCUUCGGGCUUAGCGGCGGACGGGUGAGUAACGCGUGGGAACGUGCCCUUUGCUACGGAAUAGCCCCGGGAAACUGGGAGUAAUACCGUAUGUGCCCUUCGGGGGAAAGAUUUAUCGGCAAAGGAUCGGCCCGCGCUGGAUUAGGUAGUUGGUGGGGUAAUGGCCUACCAAGCCGACGAUCUAUAGCUGGUCUGAGAGGAUGACCAGCCACACUGGGACUGAGACACGGCCCAGACUCCUACGGGAGGCAGCAGUGGGGAAUCUUGGACAAUGGGCGAAAGCCUGAUCCAGCCAUGCCGCGUGUGUGAUGAAGGCCUUAGGGUUGUAAAGCACUUUCGCCAGGGAAGAUAAUGACUGUACCCACAGAAGAAGCCCCGGCUAACUCCGUGCCAGCAGCCGCGGUAAAAC
rnacentral:rRNA from 1 species